AGCUCCCCGAGUGGUGAGGAUGAUUAUUGGGCCUAAAGCGUUCGUAGCCGGUUUGGCAAGUCUCCCGUUAAAUCUACCGAUUCAAUCGGUAGGCUGCGGGAAAUACUGUCAGACUAGGAGGCGGAAGAGGCCGGCGGUAGUCCCGGGGUAGGGGUAAAAUCCUAUAAUCCCGGGAGGACCACCAGUGGCGAAGGCGGCCGGCCAGGACGCGCUCGACGGUGAGGGACGAAAGCUGGGGGAGCGAACCGGAUUAGAUACCCGAGUAGUCC
rnacentral:rRNA from 1 species